rnacentral:rRNA from 1 species
CAAUCCUUGCCGCCGGCGACCGGCGCACGGGUGAGUAACACGUAUCCAACCUGCCUCAUACUCGGGGAUAGCCUUUCGAAAGAAAGAUUAAUACCCGAUGUUAUAGUCCUACCGCAUGAUGGGAUUAUUAAAGAAUUUCGGUAUGGGAUGGGGAUGCGUUCCAUUAGUUAGUUGGCGGGGUAACGGCCCACCAAGACAACGAUGGAUAGGGGUUCUGAGAGGAAGGUCCCCCACAUUGGAACUGAGACACGGUCCAAACUCCUACGGGAGGCAGCAG